UGCCGAGUACCUACUACCAAGACUGCUGGUCACUGCUCGUUCACUCAGCUAAGUCGUGGGACGUUCUCCGGUUUUCGCGUGUUGACUGGCUCCUAGUGCAAACGUCUUCGUUCGUCGUGUGUAGAUAUCUGGAGUCGACUGACCGGAACUAGGAGCUUACUUUUCGGACUUCGUUGGUUCGGCUCGACUUCGUCAUUGAAAGGAAUGGAACAAAAUGGUGGUUCUGGUAGCUUUUGCACUGAAAGAGUGACUUAAAUUACUCUUAUGACAUUUUUUUUUUUAAACAGGUUUAUUCGCCUAUGAACGUAUGUCUGCGAUUCAAGAAAAUGGCCUCUCUACCUGUAAGUAGUUUACUCCGAAGGGACUAAAGCAAUUUGCUGAAUGGUUGGUUUUGGUUUAAAAAUCUGAAUUGCAGAAGGGGUCGUAGUAGUUUUAACUGUGCAGUUAAUAAAAUGAAUGAACGAUU